GUCAGGCGCUUUGCAUGGAAAUGAGCCCCAGCCCAGCCAACGAAUCGCCUGUUGAAAGCGCAGCCGCGCCGCGGGCCCCGGACCCCGCACCAGUCCCCAAUCGCGCCAUUCACCCCGCGCCUUCCGCGACAGAAACAGCAGAAGCUUACCUACGAGGAAGGAGUUAAGUGUGUCCUCUGCAUCCACUUGGCACUGAGAACACCAAUCUGUGCAAUGGGAAGUUCCCUUUGCUGGCACUCCCUUAAACCUGUCUGAGGAAGUGAGAGGAGCCCGGAUUUGGACAGCAAGGAAUUUACUUGAUUUCUCUACUGGUAACAUUCAUCUGCUUCCCGUCACAAAGAGACACUCCUAUCUCUGUCCCUGAAUGAAAGAACCCCGACUGUCCCUCCAGCCGCAAACCUCUAUUAUUCUGAAAUGUCAAAAACAUAGUUUUCUUCUCACACGAUUCAGUGUCUCCCUUUUCCGUGUGCAGGGGAGUCCUAUGGACUCUUCCCCGAGUUGUUCAAGGCCAUUUUUUCUCCUGAAUCUUUUCUCUCACAUCACAUCCCCCCCCCCCCACACACACACACACACGCACGCGCACACGCAUGCGCACACACAUACACACAUGCACGUGCACACACAAAGGCUCAGUUAUGGAAGCUUCUCUAAGUGUCCUUACACAAUUGCAGAUAUGAACAAAAGAACUCUGUGAGGAGCUCAUCAAAAGAGGUGGGUUUGCCUCAAAGAGCUUCUUACACGGGGAGAUAGAAGGUUCUAGCUACGGGAUAGCAGGAUCAGAAUGACCUCUUUAGUUAGUGCCUUGGUAGAGUUUUGUGAAACGAUUCCCUGUUUGUAUCACUCAGUGUUCCUAUGGCCAGUGCUGGCCUGAAUGAAGUUUGAAAUUUAAAAAAAAUAAAUAAAUAAAGUUAUGUGUGA